rnacentral:sRNA from 1 species
AGAGGCUCCGAGGCGGCGGCGGCGACUCCCUCUUUCCCUCCCUCCUCCUCCGUCCGCCCGUCCGUCCGCGCGUCUGUCCGUUCGGCCCGCUCCGGCCCGAAGCAUGGCCGGCGUCAGCUUCAGCGGCCACCGCCUGGAGCUGCUGGCGGCUUACGAGGAGGUGAUCCGAGAGGAGAGCGCGGCCGACUGGGCUCUGUACACAUAUGAGGAUGGCUCCGAUGACCUCAAGCUUGCAGCAUCAGGAGAAGGGGGCUUGCAGGAGCUUUCGGGACACUUUGAGAACCAGAAGGUGAUGUACGGCUUCUGCAGCGUCAAGGACUCCCAAGCUGCUCUGCCAAAAUACGUGCUCAUAAACUGGGUGGGCGAAGAUGUGCCUGAUGCCCGCAAGUGCGCUUGUGCCAGCCAUGUGGCUAAGGUGGCUGAGUUCUUCCAGGUGUGUGUCAGGGGCCAGGGCUCUUGGGGGUGGGGACAGCCACCAGGGUCUGCGUGCUGGGGUAGUGAUGGCGGGAGGAUGGUGCCGCCUGAGCACUGCCGUCUUCUUGCGGAAGGGCGUCGACGUGAUCGUGAACGCCAGCAGCGUGGAAGACAUAGACGCGGGUGCCAUCGGGCAGCGGCUCUCUAACGGGCUGGCGCGGCUCUCCAGCCCUGUGCUGCACCGACUGCGGCUUCGAGAGGAUGAGAACGCAGAGCCCGUGGGCACCACCUACCAGAAGACGGAUGCAGCUGUGGAAAUGAAGCGGAUUAACCGAGAGCAGUUCUGGGAGCAGGCCAAGAAGGAAGAAGAGCUGCGGAAGGAGGAGGAGCGGAAGAAGGCCCUGGAUGAGAGGCUCAGGUUCGAGCAGGAGCGGAUGGAGCAGGAGCGGCAGGAGCAAGAGGAGCGUGAGCGGCGCUACCGGGAGCGGGAGCAGCAGAUCGAGGAGCACAGGUGAGCCCGCCCGCCCGGAGCGCUCCAGGGGCCCCUGGGCGCACUCUGACGGGUGCUGGCUGCUUAUCGUUCCAGGAGGAAACAGCAGACUUUAGAAGCGGAAGAGGCCAAGAGGCGGUUAAAGGAGCAGUCUAUCUUUGGUGACCAUCGGGAUGAGGAGGAAGAGACCCACAUGAAGAAGUCAGAGUCGGAGGUGGAGGAGGCAGCGGCUAUUAUUGCCCAGCGGCCUGACAACCCAAGGGAGUUCUUCAAGCAGCAGGAAAGAGUCGCAUCAGCCUCUGCGGGCAGCUGUGAUGUGCCCUCGCCCUUCAACCAUCGACCAGGCAGCCACCUGGACAGCCACCGGAGGAUGGCGCCCACUCCCAUCCCCACGCGGAGCCCGUCUGACUCCAGCACCGCCUCCACCCCUGUCGCUGAGCAGAUAGAGCGGGCCCUGGAUGAGGUCACAUCCUCGCAGCCUCCACCACUGCCACCGCCACCCCCACCAGUCCAAGAGACCCAGGAGCCCAGCCCAAUCCUAGACAGUGAGGAGACCAGAGCAGCAGCCCCUCAGGCCUGGGCCAGCCCCAUGGAGGAGCCCCCUCAGGCACAGGUGCCUCCCGGGGGCCCAGGCAGCCCUGCAGAGGACUUGAUGUUCAUGGAGGCUGCAGAGCAGGCUGUCCUGGCUGCUCCCGUGGAGCCUGCCACAGCCGACGCCACAGAGGUCCACGAUGCAGCUGACGCCAUUGAAACUGCCACUGCCACUGCUGACACCACUGUUGCCAACAACGUGCCCCCCGCCGCCACCAGCCUCAUUGACCUAUGGCCUGGCAACGGGGAAGGGGCCUCCACACUCCAGGGUGAGCCCAGGGCCCCCACACCACCCUCGGGUACUGAGGUCACCCUGGCAGAGGUGCCCCUGCUGGAUGAGGUGGCUCCGGAGCCACUGCUGCCAGCAGGCGAAGGCUGUGCCACCCUUCUCAACUUUGAUGAGCUGCCUGAGCCGCCAGCCACCUUCUGUGACCCAGAGGAAGUGGAAGGGGAGCCCCUGGCUGCCCCCCAGACCCCAACUCUGCCCUCAGCCCUUGAGGAGCUGGAGCAAGAACAGGAGCCAGAGCCCCACCUGCUAACCAAUGGCGAGACCACCCAGAAGGAGGGGACCCAGGCCAGUGAGGGGUACUUCAGUCAAUCACAGGAGGAGGAGUUUGCCCAAUCGGAAGAGCUCUGUGCCAAGGCUCCGCCUCCUGUGUUCUACAACAAGCCUCCAGAAAUCGACAUCACAUGCUGGGAUGCAGACCCAGUUCCAGAAGAGGAGGAGGGCUUCGAGGGUGGUGAUUAGCGGUGGCGCCAGCCCUAGGCUACCCUUGCCAAGGCCGCCCACCUGCAUCGGCCUCUGGCCAGACGGCCCGCCGUGCCUGCAUUCGCAGCAGCUCCGCCUGGCACCCACUCCGGAUUCCGGCCCUGGCUGGGGACUUGGCCGCUUCCCUACCCACAGGGCCUGACUUUUACAGCUUUUCUCUUUUUUUAAAAAGUUGAUAGGAGACAUGUACAGUUGACUGGUUUUCCUCCCGUUGGUAGUUGAGACGCUGUUGCAAAUUCCACCCCUCCUUGCCUGGUCCAGAUUGUAGCUCUUAGUCCUCCCUGCUCAGCUGGCCGGGUUGGAGGCCUCACCCUGCUUGGGGCCUGGCGUGGGGGGAGCGCUGGUGGGAAAAUGUCCCCCACCUCUUUUCCUAGUUUUAUGUUUCUUGGAAAAAUAUCACUUUGUAUUCUCUGUCCAGGGCUUCAGAUAUUUUGCACGAAUUUUAAAACAUGGCAAUAAAUGGCUCGUGGGCUCUGGC